AGCUUGUGUCUUCCACCGCAGGCGGCUCCUCUCCCUGUUCGGGCGGCUCCUCUCCCUGUUCGGGCGGCUCCUCUCCCUGUUCGGGCGGCUCCUCUCCCUGUUCGGGCGGCUCCUCUCCCUGUUCGGGCGGCGCUCGGCGGUCGUCUACUCGCUGCCACCGAUUCCUUUUUCGUUCCUGUUAGUUUUGUCUUGAUUGUUUUGACCUGUUACGUAUUUGUUGUUAAUUUUUGGCCUAUUAGCUUCCCGCCUGCUUUUGUGCUUAUUCUCCCUGUCAGUGGUGAGAUUAUUGUGUUUAUUCUCCCUGUCAGUGGUGAGAUUAUUGUGUUUAUUCUCCCAGUCAGUGGUGAGAUUAUUGUGUUUAUUCUCCCAGUCAGUGGUGAGAUUAUUGUGCUUAUUCUCCCUGUCAGUGGUGAGAUUAUUGUGUUUAUUCUCCCUGUCAGUGGUGAGAUUAUUGUGUUUAUUCUCCCAGUCAGUGGUGAGAUUAUUGUGCUUAUUCUCCCUGUCAGUGUUGAGAUUAUUGUGCUUAUUCUCCCUGUCAGUGGUGAGAUUAUUGUGUUUAUUCUCCCUGUCAGUGGCGAGAUUAUUGUGCUUAUUCUCCCUGUCAGUGGUGAGAUUAUUGUGUUUAUUCUCCCUGUCAGUGGAGAGAUUAUUGUGUUUAUUCUCCCUGUCAGUGGUGAGAUUAUUGUGUUUAUUCUCCCUGUCAGUGGUGAGAUUAUUGUGUUUAUUCUCCCUGUCAGUGGAGAGAUUAUUGUGUUUAUUCUCCCUGUCAGUGGUGAGAUUAUUGUGUUUAUUCUCCCUGUCAGUGGAGAGAUUAUUGUGUUUAUUCUCCCUGUCAGUGGAGAGAUUAUUGUGUUUAUUCUCCCUGUCAGUGGAGAGAUGAUUGUGUUUAUUCUCCCUGUCAGUGGAGAGAUUAUUGUGCUUAUUCUCCCUGUCAGUGGUGAGAUUAUUGUGUUUAUUCUCCCUGUCAGUGGAGAGAUGAUUGUGUUUAUUCUCCCUGUCAGUGGAGAGAUUAUUGUGCUUAUUCUCCCUGUCAGUGGUGAGAUUAUUGUGUUUAUUCUCCCUGUCAGUGGUGAGAUUAUUGUGUUUAUUCUCCCUGUCAGUGGAGAGAUUAUUGUGUUUAUUCUCCCUGUCAGUGGUGAGAUUAUUGUGUUUACGUUUUUACUGUCUGUUAUUUUCCCUAGUUUUCGGGACAUACCUGUUUAUUGGUAUUUUUGCCUGUUUGUUGGCUAG
rnacentral:lncRNA from 1 species